ensembl:lncRNA
ACAAUCAAGGCGCCAUUUUUAAAGUAUUCUCAUAGCCCCUGACGCGGGUAGGACGCGUAGUGCUGAGCUUGGCCCCAUUUCACAGAGGAGGGGACUCUCUGGGUGUCUCCGCGGCAGCAGGAGGGCGCGGCCGAAGCCCCAAGCCCGGUCCUCCGCCGCCACCAACACCUUCCAGCCGGCCGGGUAUCCCCCUGCCGGCUGGGACUUUCGACUUUAUCAGCUCGACAGCAGCAAGGCCUCUGCAGAGAAGGCGAUGGCACCCCACUCCAGUACUCUUGCCUGGAAAAUCCCAUGGAUGCAGGAGCCUGAAUCUCAGCUGAUCCCUUAAAGCUAAGGACAUGGGGUACUAUCAGCCACUCCACAGGCUAUGGAGGGCAGGAGACCAUCCACACAGAACAUGCUAUGC